rnacentral:rRNA from 1 species
AACGAACGCUGGCGGCAGGCCUUAUACAUGCAAGUCGGACGCGAUUAUUGUGCUUUUGUAUGAUAAUUGAGUGGCGGACGGGUUAGUAACGCGUGGGAACAUACCAUACACUGGGGAAUAACUGCUGGAAACGGUGGCUAAUACCGCAUACGCCCUAUGGGGGAAAGAUAUAAUCGGUGAAUGAUUGGCUCGCGUUAGAUUAGCUAGUUGGUGGGGUAAUAGCCUACCAAGGCGACGAUCUAUAGCUGGUUUGAGAGGAUGAUCAGCAACACUGGACUGAGACACUGUCCAGACUCCUACGGGAGGGCAGCAGUAGGGAAGUAUUG